rnacentral:tRNA from 1 species
GAGAGUAUAGCUCAGUGGUAGAGUGUGUGCUUAGCACUCACGAGGUCCUGGAUUCAAUCCUCAGUACCUCCA